CGAACUCACGGACUGGGUGUGAGUGAGAUCAAGACCUGAGCCGAAAUCAAGAGUCAGAUGCUUAACUGACUGAGGCACCCAGACGCCCUCGGGGGCUUUUCUAAACUGCUUUCUUGUCCUUCAUUGCACAAGAUGCUUCAAGAAUAGCCUUGGGAAAUGGGCAGGACAGGAGCGCGGUCUCGUUUACAGCCUUGAGUACUUUUACCAGAAGCGUGCCCACGUCCUGCUGAAUCUGCACAAGCCUGCCUCCUGGCCGCAGGGGCCCAGCAAGCCUUUGGCCAUUUGUCCCCUCUAGCCCCUGGGUCGUGAGGCUCCAGCACCUCGAAGGCCAUCCUCAACCACCCUCCUACUGCCCAUCACUCAGCCAUCGGCUCCCCGCCCUCCAUCCACAUUCCCUCUUGAGCCCCACCUAAGUGCCCAGCGUGGUAACCAGAAUGGAAGGCUCAAAGCUUCAAAAUAGCCCGGGCUUGUUAUCAGCAACUUUCCCUUCCAACUUUAUCACUGAGAAGCAGAAGCUUUUGAAAGAGUACAAACUUGGGGCGGUGGGCAGCAGCUGCCAGGCGCCCUCUUGUCUCCUGGAGUUGGACCGAGCGGAGAGAUGGCCGGUUCGAGGCACCGGAGGUGGUCAGUGACUGGCCUGAAAUUCACCAUGGGCUGGUGAUAGACGGAUGCACAAGGUUCAGAACAAGAUGCACGAGGACUAGAGACUGCAAAAGGUGUGGCGUUCCUAAGGCCGGAGGACCCUUCGUUUGCCAUGAGCGUCAUCCGGAUUGCAGUCAUCAUCCUGGGGCUGACCCUGAGCGUGGUUCAGGGGCCCACACACAGCAUCCCAACCUCCAUCAGGGGCAAGUCGCAGUAUCCCCACUGCGUUUGUUUCCUGAGGUUGUUGUAACGAAUUGUCACCAGUUCAUGGCUUAAGGCAGCCCUAAUUUGUUCUCUUACAAAGAGAGGUCAGAAGUCCAUGGUCAGCCUCAAGGGGCUGAUGUCAAGGAGUUGGUUUCCUUCUGCCUGCUCUGAGGGGAGAAUCUCUUUCCCUGAUUUUUCCAGUGUUUAGUGGCCACCUGUAUUCCUGGCUGGUGGUCCCUCCCUCCAUCUCCAGAGCACAUCACAACCUCUGCUGCCCUCAGCACAGCACUGUUCCCUCCUCCGUGUCACGUCCCCCUCUGACUCCCUCUUACAAGGACCUUUGGGAUUAGAUUGGGCCCUGCCCAGAAAAUCCAGCAUAACCUCCCCAUCUAAAUGCCUUAACCCCAUAUGCCAAGUCCCUUUGCCAUGUAAGGUAAUGUUCACACGUUCCAGGAACCUGGAUAUCUUUGGGGCCAUUAUUCAGCCUGCCACACCCAUUUUCCAGAUGGGGAAUUUGGGCCUAGAAAGGUGAGAUCACUUACCUAUGACCAGGCAGGAUUUGGCAUCUGAUGCCUGGAGAGCUAGGGCCUGACAGCCAGGUGGGAGUUAUUCCCUGCAGGGUUAUUAGGACUGGGGAGGGGCCUAAAGAGUCCCCCAGGAGGGGCUGGGGCUUCGGGGAUACUGGCUGCCUCAGAGGUCAAGUGGAAUCCAGGCCUCUGGCCUCAGGUGGUCUCCUUGAGCUGGGGAGGUGAUGGGGGCAGAUUAAAGCAAGAUCUGAUUCAGGUCUGGUGACUCAACUGCCCCUAACCCAUCUCUAGCUGACCUCUGGACACAGGGCUGGGCAAAGCAGGAUUUCUCAAACUCUUAUCCCAGAGAAACCCUGGGGUUGAAGGAAAUGGGCCCUGGGGGUGUAGCAGACCAUUUUAUGCCCCCCUCCCUUCCCUGCCCUUCACAUGUGUCUUUGCUUCUAACACCCCCACGCCCCACCCCCACCCCCCAACCCUGGCCCUGCCCUUGGCUCCUGAACAGCUUGGCCUGUACAGGUAAAGAAUGGGAUUGUGGCCGGGAAUUUACUGCCUCUAACCCUUCCCUUCCUCGGACCUUGUGCAAAGACUGACCCAUGAAGGCCCUGUCACCUUGCCCUGAGUGGGGACAGUUCUGGGCCCACCUUCUACUCUAGAGUCCCCUGUGGGAUCAUGCUGCAGCCACCCUCCCAGCUUCACCUCAAAUCCCACCCUGCUCAGCUUUCUCCUUUUCCCCCUCCUGACUUGUCCACUCCCUUACUGGUCUGCCGUGGCAGCCUUUCCUUAACGAAUCACUUGCGUAUAAAUCCUCAUCACAGAGUCGGCUUCUGGGACCCGCCCUGAGGCAGGCCCCUCUCUGUGUGUUAAAGCAUCCAUGCACAUUGUGCAUUCUGCCCCAUAACAUACCUGUGCAUUUUAAUUUAAAGGUAUUUUCUGUGAACAGCCUUCAGGUAACGUGCUCCAAGAUGUGGGUGUGGCUCAGAUGCCCCUGCACCCCCACGUGUGUCCCACAUUGAGCCGUGGGGGGCAGAGGGAGAGGCUGGCGGUGUCUUGUCCUGAGUGUCUCCAUCUGUCCUCCAUCUGUCCAUUAGAACCCCAGCCACAAAGGCAGGCCACACAGCACGCCGGACCCUAACCUUGUUCAGAUUUCUUUAUUGAAAAAUUAAAUUCAUAAGCUCUGUAUAUAAA